rnacentral:rRNA from 1 species
GACGAACGCUGGCGGCGUGCUUAACACAUGCGAGUCGAGCGGUAAGGCCCUUCGGGGUACACGAGUGGCGAACGGGUGAGUAACACGUGGGUGAUCUGCCCCGCACUUCGGGAUAAGCCUGGGAAACUGGGUCUAAUACCGGAUAGGACCACUGCCUGCAUGGGUGGUGGUGGAAAGCUUUUGCGGUGUGGGAUGGGCCCGCGGCCUAGCAGCUUGUUGGUGGGGUGAUGGCCUACCAAGGCGACGACGGGUAGCCGGCCUGAGAGGGUGACCGGCCACACUGGGGCUGAGAUACGGCCCAGACUCCUACGGGAGGCAGCAGUGGGGAAUAUUGCACAAUGGGCGCAAGCCUGAUGCAGCGACGCCGCGUGAGGGAUGACGGCCUUCGGGUUGUAAACCUCUUUCAGCACCGACGAAGCGCAAGUGACGGUAGGUGCAGAAGAAGGACCGGCCAACUACGUGCCAGCAGCCGCGUAA